rnacentral:lncRNA from 1 species
AGAGUGUAGACACUGACUGAUGGGACCAGGUACAAAAUCCCCUGGGACAAAACAGAACUUUCAUAACUGGCUGUAGAGUUAUUGUUUUUGCCUUUUGGAAGCUUCCACCUUGUGACGGGAAGAGCACUGUCAGCCCAACACAGAAACUCUGCCGCCUGGAGUCACGUGGAUCCAGAUGCGAAGGGACUCCAACGUCAUGCUAAGGAGUUUGGGCUAAGAAUUUGUACAGCCAUAUUACAGAUUUGGAAAAUGAUGUGAAGAGAAGCUAAGGGAUUUGCCACUGCCACUCAGCUGCCAAGGAUCAGAGGCAGGAUUCUAGUCUGUCCCCUUUGUUCCAUCACCCCUGCCUCCCCCUGGGCCCAGCCACCAUCACCUCUCCUGGGGGGAGCUCCUAAUUGUUCUCCCUUCUUCCUCUUGUGCGCUCCUCCAAACUAUCUCCAGCCAAAGUGAUCUUUAACAAUGUAAAUCCAGUUAUAUCACUCUUUCCAUUGUAACAGACAUUACUUCUACUUCUCAACGUCCAUCCUCCAACCAUUGUCCAGUGAUUCAGGCAGAAUUCCCUCCUGCUCAGGAGGUAGCCAUCCUGUGACCCUGGAAGAAACCAGCCCAAGGAAGGUGCUAACCUACAGAAGAAGGACAUGGCCAGGGUAAUCACAUAGACCCGGAGUUGAAGCCCUGACUGCACCACACCCGAAGCCUCCCCACCUUUCAACCUCUCGGUGAUGGUGAACCAAUAAACUCUUUUUAUUGUUCAA